GUUUACGACCGCCCUAAUGUGCUGUGACAGCGAGCUGAUCUGGUCAGAGCUCUGACCAUGCAUGACUCCUGCCACAGCAAAGGGCAGUAGCAUCAUGCAAAACACAACAGCUGGCCAAUCAGAGCUCUUGUUGCCCCUCUGUGGGUUCAUUUGUAGGUGGUACACUGCUUAUUUAACCCUUCUAUCUAAGUUGAAGCAAUCACAAAAUGGGAAUAUUUUGAUGUUAAAGCCAAGGAGAAAUGAUCAUGAGAUGGAUCAUGAUGGGCACAUUGCAUCCUAAACAGCAAAAUGUAAAGCCUUUUUCAUGAAUAAUUUUCAGAUUGCAUUU